AGCGGCGGAUGGGUGAGUAACACGUGGGGAACCUGCCCCUAAGUCUGGGAUACCAUUUGGAAACAGGUGCUAAUACCGGAUAAUAAAGCAGAUCGCAUGAUCAGCUUUUGAAAGGCGGCGUAAGCUGUCGCUAAGGGAUGGCCCCGCGGUGCAUUAGCUAGUUGGUAAGGUAACGGCUUACCAAGGCGACGAUGCAUAGCCGAGUUGAGAGACUGAUCGGCCACAUUGGGACUGAGACACGGCCCAAACUCCUACGGGAGGCAGCAGUAGGGAAUCUUCCACAAUGGACGCAAGUCUGAUGGAGCAACGCCGCGUGAGUGAAGAAGGUUUUCGGAUCGUAAAGCUCUGUUGUUGGUGAAGAAGGAUAGAGGUAGUAACUGGCCUUUAUUUGACGGUAAUCAACCAGAAAGUCACGGCUAACUACGUGCCAGCAGCCGCGGUAAUACGUAGGUGGCAAGCGUUGUCCGGAUUUAUUGGGCGUAAAGCGAGCGCAGGCGGAAAAAUAAGUCUAAUGUGAAAGCCCUCGGCUUAACCGAGGAACUGCAUCGGAAACUGUUUUUCUUGAGUGCAGAAGAGGAGAGUGGAACUCCAUGUGUAGCGGUGGAAUGCGUAGAUAUAUGGGAGAACACCAGUGGCGAAGGCGGCUCUCUGGUCUGCAACUGACGCUGAGGCUCGAAAGCAUGGGUAGCGAACAGGAUUAGAUACCCUGGUAGUCCAUGCCGUAAACGAUGAGUGCUAAGUGU
rnacentral:rRNA from 1 species